rnacentral:rRNA from 1 species
UACGGAGGAUACGAGCGUUAUCCGGAUUUAUUGGGUUUAAAGGGAGCGUAGGUGGAUUGUUAAGUCAGUUGUGAAAGUUUGCGGCUCAACCGUAAAAUUGCAGUUGAAACUGGCAGUCUUGAGUACAGUAGAGGUGGGCGGAAUUCGUGGUGUAGCGGUGAAAUGCAUAGAUAUCACGCAGAACUCCGAUUGCGAAGGCAGCAUACCGGCGCCCAACUGACGCUGAGGCUCGAAAGUGCGGGUAUCAAACAGG